rnacentral:rRNA from 1 species
AUUGAACGCUGGCGGCAGGCCUAACACAUGCAAGUCGAACGAGUGGCGGACGGGUGAGUAAUGUCUGGGAAACUGCCUGAUGGAGGGGGAUAACUACUGGAAACGGUAGCUAAUACCGCAUACCAUCAGAUGUGCCCAGAUGGGCUUAGCUAGUUGGUGGGGUAACGGCUGACCAAGGCGACGAUCCCUAGCUGGUCUGAGAGGAUGACCGGGCAAACUGGAACUGAGCGACGGUGCAGACGCCCACGGGAGGCAGCAGGGGGGAAUAUUGGACAAUGGGAGCAAGCCUGAUGCAGCCAUGCCGCGUGUACGAAGAAGGCCUUCGGGUUGUAAAGUACUUUCAGCGGGGAGGCGUUACCGGCAGAAGAAGCACCGGCUAACUCCGUGCCAGCAGCCGCGUAAUAC